rnacentral:lncRNA from 1 species
GUUUAUGUCUUGAAGCUGCAGUGCAUGGCCCCCAGAGGGCUCUUCAUCCUGUUAAGACAACACCAGUUUCCUGAAUGCCUGUGUCAGCUUUUUGGUGACAAGAAAGGAUGAAUAAGACACGAGUAUGGCUUAAAGUGCAGCGAGAGACAGAAUAGUAAAUUUACGAAGCCAGAAAUGAAAAGCAGAAAGCGAAGACGAUAUAGGAAUUUACCAGCUAGACAGAAGAGACAGGGAAAGAAACUGGCAUUGAUCAUACUGAAUGUCAUCACAAAGGAGGUUUGAGAUACUGCUUUUUCCUCCCUGUGAAGUCCUGAGUCCGUGGAAAGGCCGAGGGGAGAAACGUCGGCAGCAACGUGGCAGCUCUAUUAGUGAUGGAAACUGGAUUGGGAAAUACAGUAUCACAUCUGUAACCUAGAGGUUUUACCAACAAUAUUUUGGCCUAGAAUUCAGCCUAGCACAUUCAAUGUACUGUGCCUACCCCACUCCGGCAGAGUGGGACAGUUGAAUCUUCCCGGAAAGGAAGAAGUUGUGGUUGCCCGGUGGAAAGCAGAUCACAGUGGAUACUUCCUGCAGUCAGUCAAGCUUCUGGAGGUAGAGGAUCAGGGAGGAGCUAAGAAAAGCAGCAGUCAAGAUGAACUAAGCCCCUUAUCCCCAACCCACAAGAUUCCAAUGAGAAGUGGUGAGGUCCUGGUAUGA